CUACGCACUCCACGGGAGGCAGCAGUGGGGAAUAUUGCACAAUGGGCGCAAGCCUGAUGCAGCCAUGCCGCGUGUAUGAAGAAGGCCUUCGGGUUGUAAAGUACUUUCAGCAGUGAGGAAGGUGGGUAUGUUAAUAGCAUACUCAUUUGACGUUAGCUGCAGAAGAAGCACCGGCUAACUCCGUGCCAGCAAGCCGCGGUAAUACGGAGGGUGCGAGCGUUAAUCGGAAUUACUGGGCGUAAAGCGCAUGCAGGUGGUUUGUUAAGUCAGAUGUGAAAGCCCGGGGCUCAACCUCGGAAUUGCAUUUGAAAACUGGCAAACUAGAGUACUGUAGAGGGGGUAGAAUUUCAGGUGUAGCGGUGAAAUGCGUAGAGAUCUGAAGGAAUACCGGUGGCGAAGGCGGCCCCCUGGACAGAUACUGACACUCAGAUGCGAAAGCCGUGGGGAGCAAACAGGAUUAGAUACCCUGGUAG
rnacentral:rRNA from 1 species